rnacentral:rRNA from 1 species
GACGAACGCUGGCGGCGUGCUUAACACAUGCAAGUCGAACGGAAAGGCCCUGCUUUUGUGGGGUGCUCGAGUGGCGAACGGGUGAGUAACACGUGGGUAACCUGCCCUUGACUUUGGGAUAACUUCGGGAAACUGGGGCUAAUACCGGAUAGGAGCUCCUGCUGCAUGGUGUUGGUUGGAAAGUUUCGGCGGUUGGGGAUGGACUCGCGGCUUAUCAGCUUGUUGGUGGGGUAGUGGCUUACCAAGGCUUUGACGGGUAGCCGGCCUGAGAGGGUGAUCGGCCACAUUGGGACUGAGAUACGGCCCAGACUCCUACGGGAGGCAGCAGUGGGGAAUAUUGCACAAUGGGCGGAAGCCUGAUGCAGCAACGCCGCGUGCGGGAUGACGGCCUUCGGGUUGUAAACCGCUUUCGCUUGUGACGAAGCGUGAGUGACGGUAAUGGGUAAAGAAGCACCGGCUAACUACGUG